rnacentral:rRNA from 1 species
ACUCCUACGGAAGGCAGCAGUGGGGAAUAUUGCACAAUGGGCGCAAGCCUGAUGCAGCAACGCCGUGUGAGUGAAGAAGGUUUUCGGAUCGUAAAACUCUGUCCUAAGGGAAGAAACAAAUGACGGUACCUUAGGAGGAAGCCCCGGCUAACUACGUGCCAGCAGCCGCGGUAAUACGUAGGGGGCAAGCGUUAUCCGGAAUCACUGGGCGUAAAGGGUGCGUAGGCGGCUUAGCAAGCCAGGGGUGAAAGGCAUUGGCUCAACCAAUGUAAGCCUUUGGAACUGUUAAGCUUGAGUGCAGGAGAGGUAAGUGGAAUUCCUAGUGUAGAGGUGAAAUUCGUAGAUAUUAGGAGGAACACCAGUGGCGAAGGCGACUUACUGGACUGUAACUGACGCUGAUGCACGAAAGCGUGGGUAGCGAACAGGAUUAGAUACCCUGGUAGCACAGAG